UCCUACGGGAGGCAGCAGUGGGGAAUAUUGCACAAUGGGGGAAACCCUGAUGCAGCGACGCCGCGUGAGUGAAGACGUAUCUCGGUACGUAAAGCUCUAUCAGCAGGGAAGAAAAAAAGUCUUUGGCUUUGGACGGUACCUGACUAAGAAGCCCCGGCUCACUACGUGCCAGCAGCCGCGGUACUACGUCGGGGGCAAGCGUUAUCCGGCUUUACUGGCUGUAAAGGGAGCGUAGACGGCAGCGCAAGUCUGGAGUGACAUGCCGGGGCUCAACCCCGGAACUGCUUUGGAAACUGUGCAGCUAG
rnacentral:rRNA from 1 species